rnacentral:rRNA from 1 species
GAGUUUGAUCGUGGCUCAGAACGAACGCUGGCGGCAUGCCUAACACAUGCAAGUCGAACGGGAUCCUGGCUUCGGUCAGGUGAGAGUGGCGGACGGGUGAGUAACGCGUGGGAACCUGCCCAGUGGUGGGGGAGUAACUGCGGGAAACGUAGCAGCUAAUACCGCAUGAGCCCGACGAGGGGAAAGGAUUUAUCGCCAUUGGAGGGGCCGCGUUCGAUUAGGUAGUUGGUGAGGUAACGGCUCACCAAGCCGACGAUCGAUAGCUGGUCUGAGAGGAUGAUCAGCCACACUGGGACUGAGAUACGGCCCACGACUCCUACGGGAGGCAGCAGUGGGGAAUAUUGGACAAUGGGGGCGAACCCUCGAUCCAGCAAUGCCGCGUGAGUGAUGAAGGCCUUAGGGUUGUAAAGCUCUUUCGGCGGGGACGAUGAUGACGGUACCCGCAGAAGAAGCCCCGGCUAACUUCGUGCCAGCAGCCGCCGCGGUAAU